UGGGGAAUAUUGGACAAUGGACCAAAAGUYUGAUCCAGCAAUUCUGUGKGCACRAURAAGGUYUUCGGAUUGUAAAGUGCUUUCAGGKGGGAARAAGAAAGUGACGGUACCACCAGAAGAAGCGACGGYUAAAUACGUGCCAGCAGCCGCGGUAAUACGUAUGUCGCAAGCGUUAUCCGGAAUUAUUGGGCGUAAAGCGAGUCUAGGCGGCUUGUUAAGUCACGAUGUGAAAAUGCGGGGCUCAACUCCGUAUUGCGUUUGAAACUGGCAGGCUAGAGUACUGGAGAGGUGGGCGGAACUACAAGUGUAGAGGUGAAAUUCGUAGAUAUUUGUAGGAAUGCCGAUAGUGAAGACAGCUCACUGGACAGAUACUGACGCUAAAGCUCGAAAGCGUGGGGAGCGAACAGGAUUAGAUACCCUGGUAGUCCACGCCGUAAACSAUGUUCACUGGGUGUAGGGGGUCGAACCUCUGUGCCGAAGCUAACGCGAUAAGUGAACCGCCUGGGGAGUACGCACGCAAGUGUGAAACUCAAAGG
rnacentral:rRNA from 1 species